rnacentral:rRNA from 1 species
UGCAAGUCGGACGAUAUUUGGAGCAAUCCAAAUAUAGUGGCGAAAGGGUUAGUAAUACAUGAGUAAUCUACCUUUUACCUUGGAAUAACGGAUGGAAACGUUCGCUAAUACCAGAUGAGAUUAAAGAAUGGCAUCAUUUUUUAAUCAAAGGAGGGGACCCCGAGAGGGGCCUUGCGGUAAGAGAGGAGCUCAUGGGAUAUCAGCUUGUUGGUUGGGGUAGCGGCUCACCAAGGCUAAGACGUCUAGGCGGAUUGAGAGAUCGAUCGCCAACACUGGGACUGAGACACUGCCCAGACUCCUACGGGAGGCAGCAGUCGAGAAUAAUUCGCAAUGGGCGAAAGCCUGACGAUGCGACGCCGCGUGAACGAUGAAGGCCUUCGGGUUGUAACGUUCUGUUAUCUUGGAACAAAGGUAUGUGCUUAAUACGUGCAUAUUUUGAGGGUACAAGAGGAGGAAGCACCAGCUAAUUCCGUGCCAGCAGCUGCGGUAAUACGGAAGGUGCAAGCGUUAGUCGGAAUUACUGGGCGUAAAGGGUGCGUAGGCGGUGAUAUAAGUCGGACGUGAAAUUCCGGAGCUCAACUUCGGAACUGCAUUCGAUACUGUGUCACUAGAGGGAUGGCGGAGAAAAUGGAAUUCCAUGUGUAGCGGUGAAAUGCGUAGAUAUAUGGAAGAAUACCUGUGGCGAAAGCGGUUUUCUAGCUUCCCCCUGACGCUGAGGCACGAAAGCAAGGGUAGCAAACAGGAUUAGAUACCCUGGUAGUCCUUGCCUUAAACUAUGUAUACUUGAUGGAACCGGGCUCAACCCCGGUUGUGUCGUAGCUAACGCGAUAAGUAUACCGCCUGGGGAGUACGCUCGCAAGGGUGAAACUCAAAAGAAUUGACGGGGACUCGCACAAGCAGUGGAGUAUGUGGUUUAAUUCGAUCCACGCGAAGAACCUUACCUGGGUUUGACAUGCAAUGGACCACGGCAGAAAUGUCGUUUUCCCGCAAGGGACUGUUGCACAGGUGCUGCAUGGCUGUCGUCAGCUCGUGCCGUGAGGUGUUGGGUUAAGUCCCGCAACGAGCGCAACCCUUGUCGUUAGUUGCCAGCGCGUAAUGGCGGGCACUCUAGCGAGACUGCCUAGGUUAACUAGGAGGAAGGUGAGGAUGACGUCAAGUCCGCAUGGCCCUUAUGCCCAGGGCAACACACGUACUACAAUGGUCGGUACAGAGGGAAGCCAAACCGCGAGGUGGAGCAAAUCCCCAAAACCGGCCUCAGUUCAGAUUCAGUCCGCAACCCGACUGCAUGAAGAUGGAAUUGCUAGUAAUGGCAGGUCAGCUAUACUGCCGUGAAUACGUUCCCGGGUCUUGUACACACCGCCCGUCAAGUCAUGGGAGUUGGUUUUGCCCGAAGUCGCUCACCUAACCCGCAAGGGAAGGAGGCGCCUAGGGUGAGGCUGAUGACUGGGACUAAGUCGUAACAAGGUA